AGUGACCGAUAGUGAACCAGUACCGUGAGGGAAAGGUGAAAAGCACCCCGGAAGGGGAGUGAAAUAGAACCUGAAACCGUGUGCUUACAAGUAGUCAGAGCCCGUUAAUGGGUGAUGGCGUGCCUUUUGUAGAAUGAACCGGCGAGUUACGAUUUGAUGCAAGGUUAAGCAGUAAAUGUGGAGCCGUAGCGAAAGCGAGUCUGAAUAGGGCGUUUAGUAUUUGGUCGUAGACCCGAAACCAGGUGAUCUACCCUUGGUCAGGUUGAAGUUCAGGUAACACUGAAUGGAGGACCGAACCGACUUACGUUGAAAAGUGAGCGGAUGAACUGAGGGUAGCGGAGAAAUUCCAAUCGAACCUGGAGAUAGCUGGUUCUCUCCGAAAUAGCUUUAGGGCUAGCCUCAAGUGAUGAUUAUUGGAGGUAGAGCACUGUUUGGACGAGGGGCCCCUCUCGGGUUACCGAAUUCAGACAAACUCCGAAUGCCAAUUAAUUUAACUUGGGAGUCAGAACAUGGGUGAUAAGGUCCGUGUUCGAAAGGGAAACAGCCCAGACCACCAGCUAAGGUCCCAAAAUAUAUGUUAAGUGGAAAAGGAUGUGGCGUUGCCCAGACAACUAGGAUGUUGGCUUAGAAGCAGCCAUCAUUUAAAGAGUGCGUAAUAGCUCACUAGUCGAGUGACACUGCGCCGAAAAUGUACCGGGGCUAAACAUAUUACCGAAGCUGUGGAUUGUCCUUUGGACAAUGGUAGGAGAGCGUUCUAAGGGCGUUGAAGCAUGAUCGUAAGGACAUGUGGAGCGCUUAGAAGUGAGAAUGCCGGUGUGAGUAGCGAAAGACGGGUGAGAAUCCCGUCCACCGAUUGACUAAGGUUUCCAGAGGAAGGCUCGUCCGCUCUGGGUUAGUCGGGUCCUAAGCUGAGGCCGACAGGCGUAGGCGAUGGAUAACAGGUUGAUAUUCCUGUACCACCUAUAAUCGUUUUAAUCGAUGGGGGGACGCAGUAGGAUAGGCGAAGCGUGCGAUUGGAUUGCACGUCUAAGCAGUAAGGCUGAGUAUUAGGCAAAUCCGGUACUCGUUAAGGCUGAGCUGUGAUGGGGAGAAGACAUUGUGUCUUCGAGUCGUUGAUUUCACACUGCCGAGAAAAGCCUCUAGAUAGAAAAUAGGUGCCCGUACCGCAAACCGACACAGGUAGUCAAGAUGAGAAUUCUAAGGUGAGCGAGCGAACUCUCGUUAAGGAACUCGGCAAAAUGACCCCGUAACUUCGGGAGAAGGGGUGCUCUUUAGGGUUAACGCCCAGAAGAGCCGCAGUGAAUAGGCCCAAGCGACUGUUUAUCAAAAACACAGGUCUCUGCUAAACCGUAAGGUGAUGUAUAGGGGCUGACGCCUGCCCGGUGCUGGAAGGUUAAGAGGAGUGGUUAGCUUCUGCGAAGCUACGAAUCGAAGCCCCAGUAAACGGCGGCCGUAACUAUAACGGUCCUAAGGUAGCGAAAUUCCUUGUCGGGUAAGUUCCGACCCGCACGAAAGGCGUAACGAUUUGGGCACUGUCUCAACGAGAGACUCGGUGAAAUCAUAGUACCUGUGAAGAUGCAGGUUACCCGCGACAGGACGGAAAGACCCCGUGGAGCUUUACUGUAGCCUGAUAUUGAAAUUCGGCACAGCUUGUACAGGAUAGGUAGGAGCCUUUGAAACGUGAGCGCUAGCUUACGUGGAGGCGCUGGUGGGAUACUACCCUAGCUGUGUUGGCUUUCUAACCCGCACCACUUAUCGUGGUGGGAGACAGUGUCAAGCGGGCAGUUUGACUGGGGCGGUCGCCUCCUAAAAGGUAACGGAGGCGCUCAAAGGUUCCCUCAGAAUGGUUGGAAAUCAUUCAUAGAGUGUAAAGGCAUAAGGGAGCUUGACUGCGAGACCUACAAGUCGAGCAGGGUCGAAAGACGGACUUAGUGAUCCGGUGGUUCCGCAUGGAAGGGCCAUCGCUCAACGGAUAAAAGCUACCCCGGGGAUAACAGGCUUAUCUCCCCCAAGAGUUCACAUCGACGGGGAGGUUUGGCACCUCGAUGUCGGCUCAUCGCAUCCUGGGGCUGUAGUCGGUCCCAAGGGUUGGGCUGUUCGCCCAUUAAAGCGGUACGCGAGCUGGGUUCAGAACGUCGUGAGACAGUUCGGUCCCUAUCCGUCGUGGGCGUAGGAAAUUUGAGAGGAGCUGUCCUUAGUACGAGAGGACCGGGAUGGACAUACCUCUGGUGUACCAGUUGUCGUGCCAACGGCAUAGCUGGGUAGCUAUGUGUGGACGGGAUAAGUGCUGAAAGCAUCUAAGCAUGAAGCCCCCCUCAAGAUGAGAUUUCCCAACUUCGGUUAUAAGAUCCCUCAAAGAUGAUGAGGUUAAUAGGUUCGAGGUGGAAGCAUGGUGACAUGUGGAGCUGACGAAUACUAAUCGAUCGAAGACUUAAUCAA
rnacentral:rRNA from 1 species